GACGUAGGAUGCAAGCGUUGUCCGGAUUUAUUGGGCGUAAAGAGUUCGUAGGCGGUUCGUUAAGUCUGGUGUAAAAGACUGGGGCUCAACCCUGGGAUCGCACUGGAUACUGGCGGACUGGAGUGUGGUAGAGGCAAGCGGAAUUCCCAGUGUAGCGGUGAAAUGCGUAGAUAUUGGGAGGAACACCGGUGGCGCAAGCGGCUUGCUGGGCCAUAACUGACACUGAGGAACGAAAGCUAGGGGAGCGAAUGGG
rnacentral:rRNA from 1 species